ACGGAAGGCAGCAGUGGGGAAUAUUGCACAAUGGGGGAAACCCUGAUGCAGCGACGCCGCGUGAGUGAAGAAGUUAUUCGUAAUGUAAAGCUCUAUCAGCAGGGAAGAAAAUGACGGUACCUGACUAAGAAGCCCCGGCUAACUACGUGCCAGCAGCCGCGGUAAUACGUAGGGGGCAAGCGUUAUCCGGAUUUACUGGGUGUAAAGGGAGCGUAGGCGGCCAGACAAGUCAGGUGUGAAAACCCGGGGCUUAACCCCGGGACUGCACUUGAAACUGCCUGGCUGGAGUGCAGGAGAGGCAAGUGGAAUUCCUAGUGUAGCGGUGAAAUGCGUAGAUAUUAGGAAGAACACCGGUGGCGAAGGCGACUUGCUGGACUGAGACUGACGCUGAGGCUCGAAAGCGUGGGGAGCAAACAGGAUUAGAUACCCUGGUA
rnacentral:rRNA from 1 species